rnacentral:rRNA from 1 species
UGUAAGCGUAUACCAAAGUUGUUGCAGUUAAAACGCUCGUAGUCGGAACUUGGCAGUUCCGGAAGUGUGCACGUCGUGUGCGCACUUUGCGGGGACUGCUUUUGUGGUCUUGCGUAGGAUGAGGCACUUUUAUUAGUGAACGUCCUCACGCAACCACUCUUUACUGUGAGAAAAUCAGAGUGCUCAAAGCAGGCAUUUGCCGUGAAUGUAUUAGCAUGGAAUAAUAGAAUAGGACUCGGUUCUAUUUUGUUGGUUUGUUGGGACUGAGUAAUGAUUAAGAGGGACAGUUGGGGGCAUUUGUAUUUCGGCGCUAGAGGUGAAAUUCUUAGAUUGCCGAAAGACAAACUGCUGCGAAAGCGUCUGCCAAGGAUGUUUUCAUUGA